CAGUCGCCACGGGAAUACAGAGGGUGCGAGCGUUAAUCGGAUUUACUGGGCGUAAAGCGUGCGUAGGCGGCUUCUUAAGUCGGAUGUGAAAUCCCUGAGCUUAACUUAGGAAUUGCAUUCGAUACUGGGAAGCUAGAGUAUGGUAGAGGAUGGUAGAAUUCCAGGUGUAGCGGUGAAAUGCGUAGAGAUCUGGAGGAAUACCGAUGGCGAAGGCAGCCAUCUGGCCUAAUACUGACGCUGAGGUACGAAAGCAUGGGGAGCAAACAGGAUUAGAUACCCCUGUAGUCCCUGUCUCUUAUAC
rnacentral:rRNA from 1 species